GAUAAGAACGUAGCGAAAUGCGAUACGUAAUGUGAAUUGCAGAAUUCAGUGAAUCAUCGAAUCUUUGAACGCAUAUUGCGCUCUUUGGUAUUCCGAAGAGCAUGCUUGUUUGAGUAUCAGUAAACACCUCAAAGCUUUUGGAUUUUUUAAUCGAAAAGCUUUGGACUUGAGCAAUCCCAACACCAAUCUUUUUGAGAUCGGUGGCGGGUUGCUUGAAAUGCAGGUGCAGCUGGACAUUCUCCUGAGCUAAAAGCAUAUUCAUUUAGUCCCGUCAAACGGAUUAUUACUUUUGCUGCAGCUAACAUAAAGGGAGUUUGACCGUAUUGGCUGACUGAUGCAGGAUUUCACAAGGGUCGGCAACGAUUCUUGUUAAACUCGAUCUCAAAUCAAGUAAGACUACCCGCUGAACUUAAGCAUAUCAAUAAGCGGAGGA
rnacentral:misc_RNA from 1 species